CGUCGACGUGAAGCCCGGGUCAUAUGUGAACAUCCCGGUCUGGGCGUAGAGCUUGCUGAUGUCGAUGACAUCAGGUCCGACAGUGCCGGACAAAACCGGGAGAUCGACGGUCUUCCCUUCAACCGUCAGCGUUGCUUUUUUGGUGUUGGUCUUUGCAUCCAUCGUGAAGUCCCCGGUGAGUGUUGCUCAGGGCGAGUGACGCUUAAGGCCAUAUAGGGGCCUAAGCGCUUUA
rnacentral:misc_RNA from 1 species